rnacentral:rRNA from 1 species
UGCCAGCAGCCGCGGUAAUACGAAAGGUGCAAGCGUUGUUCGGAAUCAUUGGGCGUAAAGCGCACGUAGGCGGGUUUGUAUGUCGAUUGUGAAAGCCCAGGGCUUAACCCUGGAAUUGCAGUCGAAACUGUAAAACUAGAGUGUGUCAGAGGGGGGUAGAAUUCCAUGUGUAGCAGUGAAAUGCGUAGAUAUGUGGAGGAAUACCAAUGGCGAAGGCAGCCCCCUGGGAUAACACUGACGCUCAUAAACGAAAGCGUGGGGAGCAAACAGGAUUAGAUA